rnacentral:rRNA from 1 species
GAUGAACGCUGGCGGCGUGCCUAAUACAUGCAAGUCGAGCGAACAGACGAGGAGCUUGCUCCUCUGACGUUAGCGGCGGACGGGUGAGUAACACGUGGAUAACCUACCUAUAAGACUGGGAUAACUUCGGGAAACCGGAGCUAAUACCGGAUAAUAUAUUGAACCGCAUGGUUCAAUAGUGAAAGACGGUUUUGCUGUCACUUAUAGAUGGAUCCGCGCCGCAUUAGCUAGUUGGUAAGGUAACGGCUUACCAAGGCAACGAUGCGUAGCCGACCUGAGAGGGUGAUCGGCCACGCUGGAACUGAGACACGUUCCAGACUCCUACGGGAGGCAGCAGUAGGGAAUCUUCCGCAAUGGGCGAAAGCCUGACGGAGCAACGCCGCGUGAGUGAUGAAGUUCUUCGGAUCGUAAAACUCUGUUAUUAGGGAAGAACAAAUGUGUAAGUAACUAUGCACGUCUUGACGGUACCUAAUCAGAAAGCCACGGCUAACUACGUG